rfam:Pseudomonas cremoricolorata strain ND07, complete genome.
AUACGUGCAGGGUGGAGAUGCAUAGCCGCCGGACUGUGUAGCAGAUGCCCAGGGUUUGUACGGAAAGUCGUCGAGCGACGAUCAGGCAAGGCGAAAACAGGCGAGGAAGCGGAGUUUGCUGAUUGCAAAUGAGCAUUCCGAGCCUGUUUUCAACGCAGCAUGAUCGUCGCGCAGGCACUUUUCUUCCAAAGCCUACUGGCGUCCACGGCCGACGGUUGAUUCCUCCUCCUGACUGAGUGCACAGGGUUUGUUCGAGACGUCGCCCAGCAACGAUCCGGCGAGUUGGAACCAGGCAACACAACGCGAAUUCGCAGGCCUGCCCUGUGUUUCGGGCCUGGCUUCGACGGAGCCUGAUCGACACGCGAGCACUUAUCGCCCACGCCCCGGCCUGUAGGGUUGAACCCAGGCCAAGUGGCACCACAGCAAUCAGGACGCGUCGUCGCGAUCACGGCAGGCUGGGCAACCGGCUGGUGCCGAAUAUCGCUGGACACGGGGGUAGCUCGCUACCCUUGUCGCACCUUGGCACCGACCAUGGAAAGUCGUGUGUGCCGAACGCCGUUUCCGGCAGCCCGGAAACCGA